AACGAACGCUGGCGGCAGGCCUAACACAUGCAAGUCGAGCGAGGACUUCGGUCCUAGCGGCGGACGGGUGAGUAACGCGUGGGAACGUGCCCUUUGCUACGGAAUAGCCCCGGGAAACUGGGAGUAAUACCGUAUGUGCCCGAGAGGGGAAAGAUUUAUCGGCAAAGGAUCGGCCCGCGUUGGAUUAGGUAGUUGGUGGGGUAAUGGCCUACCAAGCCGACGAUCCAUAGCUGGUUUGAGAGGAUGAUCAGCCACACUGGGACUGAGACACGGCCCAGACUCCUACGGGAGGCAGCAGUGGGGAAUCUUAGACAAUGGGCGCAAGCCUGAUCUAGCCAUGCCGCGUGAGCGAUGAAGGCCUUAGGGUUGUAAAGCUCUUUCAGUGGGGAAGAUAAUGACGGUACCCACAGAAGAAGCCCCGGCUAACUCCGUGCCAGCCGCCGCGGUAAGAC
rnacentral:rRNA from 1 species